rnacentral:rRNA from 1 species
UACGAAGGGGGCUAGCGUUGCUCGGAAAUCACUGGGCGUAAAAGGGUGCGUAGGCGGGUUCUUUAAGUCAGGGGUGAAAUCCUGGAGCUCAACUCCAGGAACUCGCCUUUGAUACUGAGGAUCUUGAGUUCGGAGAGGUGAGUGGGAAUUCCCGGUGUAGGCGGUGGAAAUGACGUAGAUAUCGGGAGGAACGACCUGUGGCGAAAGCGGACUC